UGUCAAAAUAGGUCGUGAUUAAUGGAUUGAUCUAAACCAAAUUAACCAAUGGUUCUAAUGAGUUAAUAAUUUGGAUUUUAAUGGAUUAAUGGUUUUUAUGGGUUAGUGGGUUUAGUGAGUUGGAUUAACAUUGAGUUGGACCAAACCAAUUUUUUCACACACGUUCUUUUUUUCGUCUUUCUCUCUCUUUUUUCUUAUUUCAUGAGACUUGAUCUCUUUUUUCGAUCUCGCUAGACCUUCAUCAUCGAUCACGACAUCGAUCACACCUUUUGGGUCGUUGAUUUUGGGUUGUCGAUCACAACACAACAACUCAUCUUCCUUCCUUUGCAUGUUUGUGGAACACUUGUAGCAGCAAGGUGUCAACAAAUUUGGCAUCAACGAAGAUGAUGAAUAAUGAAGAAGAUCUUCUAAACAGUGGUGGCCAAUCAUCCACAAGUGCAUCACAAUCGGCUCUAGUAAGUUCUAAUCAUUCAAAAAGAGCUAAGAGAUCAACUGCUUGAGAUUAUUUUUACAAUAGAAAAAGAUGAGAAUGGCCAAGAGGGAGCAUAUUGUAAAAAAGUGUCCAAAGAACUAUGUGUGGUUGCCAACUAGUGGAACAUCUAAUUUGAAACGUCAUGCCGAGAAAUGCUCAAAUAGUUUGAAUGUUAGAAAGGAAAGGAAGUUUGAUGAUAAAGUUGCUAGGGAAAAGUUUAGUCGAGUGAUUAUUAGACAUAAUCUUCCUUUCCUUUAUGUUAUGAAGAACUUAGAGAUUAUCUUAGUUAUUUGAAUCCAGAUUAUAAGUGUUACACUAGAAACACUGCUGCAGCUGAUGUAGUUAAGACUUGGGAGAAGGAAAAACAGAAGUUGAAGUCGGAGUUAGUAAAUAUUCCUAGUAUGGUGUGUCUGACUUCUGAUUGUUCGUAUUUCUUCAGUCUCUGGAGAUGGAUAUAUAGUUUUGACGGCACAUUAUGUUGAUUAGAAGUGGAUUUUGCACAGCAAGAUUUUGUCAUUCUGUAAUCUGCUUCCUCCACACACCGGUGAUGCUUUAGCUAGUAAAAUUCAUGAAUGUUUGAAGGAGUGGGGCAUUGAGAAAAAAGUGUUCACUUUAACUCUCGAUAAUGCUACAGCUAACGACUGUAUGGAAUAAAUUUUGAAGGAUCGGCUGAAUUUAGAUGAUAAUCUGUUGUGUAAAGGAGAGUUUUUUCAUGUCUGAUGUUGCGCACACAUCUUAAACCUUAUAGUGCAAGAUGGUUUAAGUGUUAUCAGUGGUGCAUUGUCCAAGAUCAGAGACACUGUCAUUGGAUGUUCAACAUAGAUGGAACUCGACAUACUUGAUGCUUGAGAAAGCCUUCAAGUACGAGCGUGCUUUAAAUAGGUUUAAAGUAGUUGAUGGACUAUGGAUUUGACUCAUUUUCAUCCAUAGUUUAUAGGUGUUUUUACUAAUAAUUAUAUUAUUAUAGAGUCUAUUUAUUAUAUUUAUAAGAUCAUGAAUGUUUUGGAGAUAAGUGAUGAUUUUGGAGCAUUUUGGAGAUAUUUGGAGCAAGCACCCGAGAUGACCAUCGAGAUCGACUAUCAGUCGAUAUUGGAGAGCUAGAAUCGAUCGAUACACAAGACAUGGUGUCGAUUGACAGUGAAGCGUGCAGGAAGCCCGUUUGGUCACAGCCAACUUGAAGCCCAAGAUUUCACUAUUUUACAAGAUUGCCCCUGACGAAUUUUUACCCUAAUUAUAUAAGCUUUGCCGCUAUGUUAGAGGCAAAGUGUGAUUUCUUUGUGUUUCAUUGUUUUAUUGAUAGAUAGGAGAGAAGAUCCAAAGUUAUAAUUUGUGAUUGGAACUCCAUUAAUAUCUAUAUUAUUAUUCUAUGAA